GGUGCCCAUUCAAAACCCUAACUCAAGAAACCCCCAAACCCCAGAGACAAAUGGGUCGUGUGAUCCGUGCUCAGCGUAAGGGUGCAGGCUCCGUCUUCAAGUCCCACACCCACCACAGGAAAGGCCCUGCGAGAUUCCGCUCUCUCGACUUCGGCGAACGCAAUGGGUACCUGAAGGGUGUGGUCACAGACGUUAUCCACGAUCCAGGUCGAGGCGCUCCGCUUGCCCGGAUCACAUUUCGUCACCCAUUCCGCUACAAGCACCAGAAGGAGCUUUUUAUUGCUGCUGAAGGGAUGUAUACUGGUCAGUUAGUGUACUGUGGAAAGAAGGCAAAUUUGAUAGUGGGAAAUGUUUUACCUUUGAGAUCAAUACCUGAGGGAGCUGUUGUGUGUAACGUGGAGCAUCAUGUAGGAGAUCGGGGAGUGUUCGCUAGAUGUUCUGGGGAUUAU
rnacentral:misc_RNA from 1 species